rnacentral:rRNA from 1 species
CCUGGCUCAGAUUGAACGCUGGCGGCAUGCCUAACACAUGCAAGUCGAACGGCAGCACGGACUAGUUUACUAGUUGGGUGGCGAGUGGCGAACGGGUGAGUAACGCGUAGGAAUAUACCUUAGAGAGGGGGAUAACAUGGGGAAACUCAUGCUAAUACCGCAUACGUUCUUAGGAAUAAAGCUGGGGACCUUAUGGCCUGGCGCUUUAAGAUUAGCCU